AUUGAACGCUGGCGGCAGGCCUAACACAUGCAAGUCGAGCGGAUGAAGGGAGCUUGCUCCUGGAUUCAGCGGCGGACGGGUGAGUAAUGCCUAGGAAUCUGCCUGGUAGUGGGGGAUAACGUCCGGAAAUGGGCGCUAAUACCGCAUACGUCCUGAGGGAGAAAGUGGGGGAUCUUCGGACCUCACGCUAUCAGAUGAGCCUAGGUCGGAUUAGCUAGUUGGUGGGGUAAAGGCCUACCAAGGCGACGAUCCGUAACUGGUCUGAGAGGAUGAUCAGUCAAACUGGAAAUGAGACACGGUCCAGACUCCUAAGGGAGGCAGCAGUGGGGAAUAUUGGACAAUGGGCGAAAGCCUGAUCCAGCCAUGCCGCGUGUGUGAAGAAGGUCUUCGGGUUGUAAAGCACUUUAAGUUGGGAGGAAGGGCAGUAAGUUAAUACCUUGCUGUUUUGACGUUACCAACAGAAUAAGCACCGGCUAACUUCGUG
rnacentral:rRNA from 1 species